GUGGGGAAUCUUGCGCAAUGGGCGAAAGCCUGACGCAGCCAUGCCGCGUGAAUGAUGAAGGUCUUAGGAUUGUAAAAUUCUUUCACCGGGGAAGAUAAUGACAGUACCCGGAGAAGAAGCCCCGGCUAACUUCGUGCCAGCAGCCGCGGUAAUACGAAGGGGGCUAGCGUUGCUCGGAAUUACUGGGCGUAAAGGGCGCGUAGGCGGACAUUUAAGUCAGAGGUGAAAGCCCAGGGCUCAACCUUGGAAUUGCCUUUGAUACUGGAUGUCUUGAGUUCGGGAGAGGUGAGUGGAAUGCCGAGUGUAGAGGUGAAAUUCGUAGAUAUUCGGCGGAACACCAGUGGCGAAGGCGACUCACUGGCCCGAUACUGACGCUGAGGCGCGAAAGCGUGGGGAGCAAACAGGAUUAGAAACCCGGGUAGUCC
rnacentral:rRNA from 1 species